rnacentral:lncRNA from 10 species
CUGCGUACCCCUCAGCCACCCACUCCUCCUGAAUCUUGUCCUUGUUUCCAGGCACACAUUAUUGCAGAUUAUGAGGGCUGCCAGUCACUUAAGUGGCCCCACAAAGCAGAGGGCUUGAUGAUCCAGCACACUCUCUGCUUGCACAUGAUGUGUCCUGCUACAAUGGCAAAAAAAGGACUUUAUUAUUUUCCUUCUGAUUUAUGGAGCAGGAAAAAAGAUCAUGUCUGUUACAUUUCCCAGAAUGGUUCCCAGUGCUGGAGAUAAUUCCUUUUCGGAGAACCUACAUUUCUCACCUGCUGAUUGCAAUUAGCCACUACCAGCUGGGGCCUGGUGUGCAGCUGAAAAGCUAACAAGAAGUGGAGACCACGCGGAACUCAGACAGGGCAUAGGAUGUGCAUAAAUAAGCAACGGUGCCUGUGUUUAUGAGAUGCUCCUGUGAAUUCGAGGCUUCCCCACCCUCUGCAUAACUCUCCCUCUUCUGGCUUUGUGCUGCACACCCCUCCCCUAACUAUAUUUUUUGUCUCUGGUUUUGUAGCCUACGUUUAACAUCACAGUCACGAAUUUACCACUAAGUACAUUUUGUUAGGCAAUAAACAGCCUUGGAAGAAAAAUGAAAUCCGACUAGGACUUCUGUUCUAAUAAUGUCUGUGAGCUGUGGUGGAUUCAGGCAGGCCCCACAUGCAGGUCUUAGAGCUAACCUUGACCAUGAGGGCUAGUGGGGCUGGGAGAGGGCUCAGGGACCCCAAUUCAACUCCCUUAUUUUAUGGGGGAGGAUACUGAAUCCCAGAACGGGAGCAUGGCCUGUCCAAAGUCUUAAAGGAAGUCACAGGACUGGAU